rnacentral:sRNA from 1 species
AAGCCUCAUCUCAGCUAUAUUGUUGUCCGAGCUGGUGACAGACGAAACUAUACAUCUGAAAUGGCUCUCCUUCCCUUGCUCUGAAAAAAAAUACUCGACCACAAAAUGCCAUCAGAGGCAGUUUCGGAUAGUCGAUCAAAAUGCCGGCAAAAGUCGGGAACUUAGGGACAGUGUGACAGACUGGCGUUCAACUGAACAUAAGAACUAACGUACGGAGUAGUUAAACUCCGACUAAACUUGGAGAGAUUUUCGAAAGUUACUUCAACCGCGCACACCAGUCUGCUCAGCUGCAUCCACUCCUUAAGGAGAAAUGCUCACUGUGGUGCAUUAGCACCAUCGCGCUACUGCGAAGGUUCUAUGAUUUCCAUGCAAUAAUGAAACACUGCCCACAAAACCGGCAACCACUCGUCGUUUUUGAGCCGUGGAAGGGAAACUUGACCCCACACUAGAAAAGAAGGCUGACUAGCGAGGCGACCCUCCGGUCAAUCUCAUCUCAGCGCCAGUUAAUGGAGAAGCGGGGGAAUAUCGGACAAAACAAUGCGGA